rnacentral:rRNA from 1 species
ACACUGACGUCGCGACGCAUAUCAAUAAGCGGAGGAAAAGAAACUAACAAGGAUUCCCUUAGUAACGGCGAGUGAAGCGGGAAGAGCUCAAAUUUGAAAUCUUCAAGGUUCUACCUUGACGAAUUGUAGUUUAAAGAAGUGUUUUCUGUUAGUGGAGUGGCAAAAGUUCUUUGGAAUAGGACAUCAUAGAGGGUGAGAAUCUCGUAUUUGUACCAUUCCUUCUAGCUUUGUGAUACACUUUCAAAGAGUCGGAUUGUUUGGGAAUGCAGUCCAAAAUGGGUGGUAAAUUUCAUCUAAAGCUAAAUAUUGGCGAGAGACCGAUAGCGAACAAGUACCGUGAGGGAAAGAUGAAAAGAACUUUGAAAAGAGAGUUAAACAGUACGUGAAAUUGUCAAAAGGGAAGCGUUUGACACCAGUGUUGUUUUUCCGAAAAUCAAUUAUAAAUGUUUUGUUUCUGAGGAGUGAUGACUUCAUCGGCUUCCUUCUCUCUUCACGAAACUUUUGUAAUGCACUUUUCGGUUAACAAGUCAACAUCAAUUUCUUUUGUUGUAAAAGAGUAUUCGGAAGGUGGCUUUCUUUUCGGAGAAAGUGUUUAUAGCCCUAUACUUCUACAAUCGGAGAGAUUGAGGUCUGCAGCGUAGAUCCUUCGGGGUUAGAUACACUUGUGCUAAGUUAUAGCUUUUCAUAGACAACUUGUUGACUAUGUUUAGUCUUGUAGCUUACUCGCUUGUGCUAUUUUACCUACGCUUAGGAUGUUGAGUCGUAGAGCACGCAG